GCCCUGCACUACAUGGCCUAAGUUUGGCUUGAAUUUCUCACUGUACGCCUAACGGCUACAACGGCUCCACAGAGGGUGUCAGACCCGUGAGGCUAUGUGAUUAAAUGUGCGUGGGUUCGGCUUUAUUCCCUGAGAGUCGCGUUGCUUGAGCAUGCAGCGCUAAGCAGGUCGUAAACUCGACCUAAGGCUAAAUAUAUUCACAGAACCGAUAGUAAACAAGUACCGUGAGGGAAAGUUGAAAAGUACUCUGAAGAGAGAGUUAAAAGACCGUGAAACCGCUUAGAGUAUAAGCCAAUGGUAUUCUGGAAUGCUGGAGCUCCCCAUGGAAAAUGGUUCCCGAUUGUGGGGUACGUCCUAAGGGUAUCGUGUGUGCGAGAGAUCAUGAAGGCUGAUGGGCAAUCGAACCGAAAAGUGGAAUUGAGUUUAUACCACGGCACCCAUAUCUCGCGGGCCUCUGACAGUGGUAACAGGGAACGUUCUAAUGAGGAACUGAACCGAGGCUGGGCUUCAGCGAGCAUCAGUUUUUAAGCAUACUAACGAUCGGCUUUCUAAACAGCACACCACAAUCCUUUAUAAGGUCUCACUAGUGAGGUGUGGAUAGAGAGUGAUCUCUUUCAGCGAGUCGUGUCGCGUCAUUGUCCUCUGGUUUUGUGCACGUGCUUUGGUUGGCAUCGUGUGCUCCCGUUCCAAUACAGAUGUAUAGGGGGCUCAGUGGCCUGAGUGCCCUUGUACAGUUGGAGACGUGGAUGCUAGAGGGCCGGCCGGCUUGCACUGUACCGUUCCAGACACUAGUUGAAUGAUCCUAUGUGAAGAUUGAUUCUGACCGUCCAAAAACCCGCGAGCUUUGCCCGAACAGGCUUUGCGAGAUAACUGCACGGUGUGCCCUUGCGCUUCGUUACUUUAAGCUGAGGCGUCGGUCUAUUGUGGACAGGGGAGUGCAUUGGCCUCCUAUCUUUCACGUAGACUAGCAAAUUGGUUGUAUCGGGCUGUGAGCGAGGGGCAUUCGUUGGGUCGCUGGCCGAUUGGUGCAUUAUUCCAGAGCCAUUGGUCACGUCUCGAAACACGGGCCAAGGAGCAUAGCAUGUGCGCAAGUCUAAGGGAUAAGAAAUCCUGGAGGCGAAGUGAAAGCAAAUGGUGUGGGUAUGAGAGCUUGGCGUUCUUGUAUUCAGCCUGCGAUAAGCGUAAUUCCCGCGCUCGGAAACGAGUGUGGACGAAUGCGUCUCGCGGCUUAAAUUUGGGUUGAUCCUGUUACGUAAUAAAGCCACACUGGCGAUACGCG
rnacentral:rRNA from 1 species